UCACAGUAUUUCAUUUGUAGCAGAGAGAAUGGAUAUCCUCUCAUAUAACAUUUUUAAUUAUAUAACAUCUCAGUUGGUUCUAAGGUUCCUUUCUAAUUCUUUCUAAUCUUUCUUUUCAGGGCUUUUUCGGUGUUCACACAGACCUGAUUCACAAGUAUGGGAGAGUAUGUGGAUACUAUCUAGGCAGGAGGCCCGUGGUGGUGGUAGCUGACCCUGAUAUGCUCAGACAGAUCAUGGUGAAGGACUUCAGCACCUUCCCCAACAGAAUGACAAUCCGUGCCGCUACUAAGCCCAUGAGUGACUGUCUGCUGAUGCUGAGGAACGAGCACUGGAAGAGAGUACGCAGCAUCCUCACCCCCUCCUUCAGUGCAGCCAAGAUGAAAGAGG